rnacentral:rRNA from 1 species
ACUUCAGGGGGAGUAUGGUCACAAGGCUGAAACUUAAAGGAAUUGACGGAAGGGCACACCAGGAGUGGAGCCUGCGGCUUAAUUUGACUCAACACGGGAAAACUUACCAAGACCGAACAGUAGAAGGAAUGACAGAUUAAGAGUUCUUUCAUGAUUUAUUGGGUAGUGGUGCAUGGCCGUUCUUAGUUGGUGGAGUGAUUUGUCAGGUUAAUUCCGGUAACGAACGAGACUGAAACCUAUUAAUUAGUUUUUUGCCUAUAAGACAAGAAUGUUCGUAAGGACAGGUGCGAAAGUACCACUUCUUAAAGGGACACAUUUCAAUUGUCCUAUUUUAAUUGUAGUAUCUAACUUCGGUUAGAACUCUUUUAACGUGGGAAAAAGAAAAAGGAAGCAUUCAGCAAUAACACGGUAACGAACGAGACUGAAUCUUG